AUGCAAAACGCCUUGAAGCAAUUUUUGGGAAUUUCUCAAUACCAAUAGAGCAUCUCGGGUCAUUUCACAAGAUUUGAUAUCACUGUGCCUUCGUUUUCGUUGGAGGACGCCCUCAAUGCAAAAAAGACGUUCUCAGAGUCCGAGAACCUGGAACAUGGAUGUUAUUACUUCUCUGAAAUGAGUAUUGUCGAAAUCGCAAAAAUUUUCAAGCCGGACUAUUACUGGCAAAAAUCAAAAUCUACUUGGACAACACUCGGAUUCAGUUGAACCUAAAUGAGAUUGUGGUAAACUAUUUGGCCGAUAUCGAGAGCCCUAUCAAGUAUGCAGAAACUGCAUUUGGUGGCUUGGCUGAAUUUAUAGAACACUCAAAAUUUGGAUUAGAAACUUUUCAAGUAACAAAUUGCACAACCAUCAAUAAAAUUAAUAGAAGAAUAUACUUUGAAAAGUUAUUGGAAAUUUUCAAAAAAGACCGCUGUUUGCAAGUGAAAACGGUUCAUUUCACAAAUUUUACUCUUUCUGAAAUAUCUUCAGUUCUGCCAUAUUUCCGAGCUGGAACACUUGAGAAAAUUGAAAUUAGUUGCCGUUCAUCUUCUAUUCUCAACCUAGAGGAAAUAACUUAUCUUGAUCAGUGGAAACAUGCAAAAUCUUUUGAAGCAGUGUGGGAUACCGUUUCAAUUCCAAUUGAGCUACUGUUUCGCUUUAAUUCUUUUAGAGUGAAUAUUCAAUUUUUUCCAAAAUCGGAUGCAAUUAAAGUUAGAGAUAUUCUCGAAAAAUCUCCUGCCUACGAGUACGGAUUCUUGGGAUUUUCUAUAGUGAACGAAAUAAAAACUGUUUUUGGUCAAGGAAUCGGUGAUGCCUACAGAAGUUGUAUAAUUUAUAAAUCCAGUGAUAAUAGAAAGUUUAAAAUCGAUUGUAGUGCGGAACACUUGGAGAUCAGGAUAAAUGCCUGAAAAU